rnacentral:rRNA from 1 species
UACGUAGGGGGCGAGCGUUGUCCGGAUUUAUUGGGCGUAAAGAGCUCGUAGGCGGCUUGGCAAGUCGGGUGUGAAAACUCCAGGCUCAACCUGGAGACGCCACUCGAGACUGCUAUGGCUAGAGUCCGGUAGGGGACCACGGAAUUCCUGGUGUAGCGGUGAAAUGCGCAGAUAUCAGGAGGAACACCGGUGGCGAAGGCGGCAUCCUGGACCGGUAUUGACGCUGAGGCGCGAAAGCUAGGGGAGCAAACGGG